UAAGAUAAUGAUCUUGUCUGUUCAGAUAUAUUAGAGGACGAAAGUUGACUAUUGUUACUUUGCAAAAUGAAGUCAUACUUUGUGAUCGUGGUUGUCGUUAUUCUUGUUGCUUCCUUGUGUGAAGCCAAUCCUGUAAGGAAUAUUAUUGACACUCCUGAUGGAUGUCCAGAAGGUUAUGAAAAGGCGCACGAUGGCACGUGCAUUGAGCCGUUCAAGCUCAUACUUCCUGUUCUCCGCGCCAUACAAUAUCUACAAGUGCACCACUAAGAAGACAUAACUAAGAAGGUUUAUUCUUACUUAUAAAAAACGAUUUUUACUAUGUAGAUAUCAUAAAUGUAAAAAUAUAAUUAAAUAUGGACUAAAAGUUGUACAACUGUGACUCUAUCAAUUGAUAAUUAUAUUUUUGUAUUUCUAAGUACUUGUACAUAAUUUUUGUUAUUUAAGUUUUGUAAAUAUAACCUAUUAUUAUUAUUUUUUUGGACAUUGUUGUUUCAUGAUAUAAAUUUCUUUCGAGAUUUUAACGUAUCAUAGACUUUGGCAUUUGUCGAGAUAGUUGCUCAAAAUAAAUGGUAUCUCACGGACGUGAGUGAUUGAUAUAAAUUUGCUUGUUAAGAGUUAGAUUACAAGAAAAUUUGUGUCGUUGAUAGAGAAUAAAAAAUUUGUCUGUCCAGAAAUUUGACUAAAAAUAAAUCAAUUGGAUUUAUAAUGUUACAAUGACGUCAAGAUGACGACAUGGAGAACUUCCUGUACAGUCAUUAGUGUAGUAAAACGCGAUUAGUAAAUAUAGUGACGAUGAGUGUUUAUUGGUAUGUAUUAUAUAAUUUGUAGUGAUGAUUACAUUUAUUUAUUGUCAGAAAUAUUACAGUUUUUAUAUGUCUAAAUAAAAAAUUCUAUCCCAUUUUUCAUUGUUUGUACUUUUCCAACACAGUUUCCUUUAAUCCUUUAUUUAUUGAACACGGAAAUUUUCUCCGUAUAUUGGUCUACUAUAAAAGUAUAUUUCAUUAUGACACUGCAAACACUCUUAUCAACCUGCUCAACAAUAACAAGCACCUAGCGUCAAAGACGCCAGAAGACUGCAAAAAUUUAGGAGUUCACAAUGAAGUCUAACCUGUGUUUUUUGAUAAUCGUGCUGGUGCUCGUCGGUACUGUUUUGGCUGAAGAUUCCAAUUACCAAAACUGGUUCGCAAAAAUUUUCGGCCAAAGAAUCGAAAGCGGUUCAGAAAAAUUAGUCCCUAAAAGUAUUAUUAGAGUCCGUUGCAGACAAGGUUUUGUCAGAAUUGGGAGAAGAUGCUUGCCGAUAGAGGAUGACUAUGACUACGUAACGGUAAAACUCGAAUUCUCGUAAGAAUCCUCUGAUGCAGUACAAAAAUAGAUCAAGAAAAUUUCUUCCGCAGUAUCUGUCAGCAGAAAGUCAACACACAAACCGUUUCUUCAAAAAGUGCAGUGUAUUUCAAAUUGAGUAUAAUGCUUGUAGAUGCUUUACUACAGUUUAUAGUCAAAAAUGUACUUACCACAUAAUGAAUAAUGUUCUUGUUCCGUUUUAUUAACUGUUUAACUAAUAUUAGAUUAAGUUUAGGGUAGUACUUUUAGUUUUAUUUUUAACGACGUAAGAAAAAGUAUUAUCAGAAUUUUUUGUACAUCUUUUUUAAAGAUUAAUUAAUAUUAAAAAUAUUUUUAAACA